CUCUUUGUUCCCAUCAGUUUGAGGGGGGAGGUGUUGAGAAGGGAGGAGGAGGUGGCGGAGUCAGAAGCUGGGGGGUACGGACCCUGGUGCUUCCAAGGACUGACCACAACCCCUUCUCACUCUCACCCUCACUCACACUCUGACUGUAAACAGAGGGUACCUGGAUGCCAGGAGGCAGAGGGCACAGGGAUGGGUACAGCCCCUGUGUCCUUCCUGGGUAAACUGCCUCCCCUCACCCAGGACCGAUCUCCCUGUGGUUCAGGGCCAUGGGUCCCUCGCUGCUAAGACCUCCAGUUCCUCUAAUGUCCUGGAGGCACGUGGUGCCCAGCCCUUCUCAUUCCUGGGCAGGUCCAGCGUGUCUGUUUAUACCACGGGAGUCAACUAGAACUUUACGUGAGAACCAAUAGUGACAUCGGAUCAUUGUUGAGCACCCUGUCCAUGAACUCUGCUCCAAUACUGAGGCCAAGGACUAAAUCCUCAAGGAGAGGAUUUGAUUUUAUACAACAAACCCAUUGAAUGUCUCCUUCGUCCCAAGCGGCCAGCCUUAGAAGAUACAAAGAUAAAUACGCCAUGGGCACUGCAGAGCCAGCGGAGAAGGACAAGGGAGCACUGUCUCCCGGGAGGACAUGGUUUUCUUUCAGGCUUUUCUUGUACCUGCCUACCUCUAUUUGCCACUCACACUGUUUCUGCCACCCUGUUUUUUUUUUAUUCUCUACUAAAUGAAUCUUACUAUUUUAUUUUCUUUUAAGUUUGUCAAGUUCAGUAAUCUGCUCAGAAACCAGCUUUGGAGUAUGUCCAUUAUUUUUUUUAAUUUAUUUUAUUUUUUUUGUCUUUUUAUCUUUUCUAGGGCCACACCCCCCGCAUAUGGAGGUUCCCAGGCUAGAGGUCAGAUCGGAGCUGUAGCCGCCGGCCUACGCCAGAGCCACAGCAACACCAGAUCCGAGCCACAUUUGCAACCUACACCACAGCUCACUGCAAUGCCAGAUCCUUGACCCACUGAGCGAGGCCAGGAAUCGAACCUAUAUCCUCAUGGUUCCUAGUCGGAUUGUUUCCUCUGCGUCACAUCAGGAACUCCAUGGAGUGUGUCCAUUAUUGUUUGUUUCCAGAUUCUUCUUUAAUUUUUGCUUUUAUUUUUAUGUUUCUCCUUUCUUAGAAUGUUCUCUUGAUUUCUAAAAUUGAAUGUGUAAUUCAUUAAUGUUCAAUCUUAUUUUAUUAUUAAUAUAUUUUAAACUACAUUUUCCAAUAGAGUGGUUUCACUUCAUCCACAAAUUUUGACACAUAUGGUUUUCACUAUUUUAUUUUUUUCUUUUUACAGCUGCACCUGCAGCAUAUGGAAGUUCCAGGCCAGGGAUGGAACCACAGCUGGAUCCAUAACCCACUGAGCCACCAGGGAACUCCUAUUUACCUUUUUGAAAUUGAAUUUUUUAUUUUAUUUCAUUGUGGUUACAGAACAUAUAAAUUUUUUUGGUCUUUUUUUUUUGAGAAUUGGCUUAUUGUCUACCUUUCUGACUAUUUUGUCAUGUAUUCUUGGAAAAAAUGUGUAUUCUCCAUUUGGGGGUGCAAGCUUUUAGGUAUGGCCUUCCUUAAUAAGUUGUCUUGUAAUGAUUUAUGAUUUAUAUUCUUAUUCAAUUUUUUACUCCUUAGGCUUUGAGUUUCUAAAAAUGAUAAAUGGAAAUCUCCCCCAGAAACCUUCCAUUCUAAUUGUGAAUUUGUUAAUUUCCGCUUAUAAUUCUGUCAAUUUUCACAUCAUGUAUUUCAAGACUGUUGCUAAAUGUAUGCACAUUCAGUUAUUACUGUAUCUUCCUGGUAUAGUAGCUUAAGUAAUGAUUCUCUUUAUCAUCAUCAUACAAUGCUUGUAUUUUAUGUCUAUUUGAUAAUAAUUAUUAAUUAAAAUAUUAUUGCUGAUG
rnacentral:lncRNA from 1 species